rnacentral:rRNA from 1 species
ACAGCAGUCCCACGGUAACACAGAGGGUGCGAGCGUUAAUCGGAUUUACUGGGCGUAAAGCGUGCGUAGGCGGCUAAUUGAGUCGGAUGUGAAAUCCCCGAGCUUAACUUGGGAAUUGCAUUCGAUACUGGUUAGCUAGAGUGUGGGAGAGGAUGGUAGAAUUCCAGGUGUAGCGGUGAAAUGCGUAGAGAUCUGGAGGAAUACCGAUGGCGAAGGCAGCCAUCUGGCCUAACACUGACGCUGAGGUACGAAAGCAUGGGGAGCAAACAGGAUUAGAUACCCCCGUAGUCCCUGUCUCUUAUACA